rnacentral:rRNA from 1 species
GACGGAGGGGGCUAGCGUUGUUCGGAAUUACUGGGCGUAAAGAGCGCGUAGGCGGUUUGAUAAGUUGGAAGUGAAAUCCCGGAGCUUAACUUCGGAAUUGCUUUCAAAACUAUUUAACUAGAGUACGGUAGGGGGUGAUGGAAUUCCUAGUGUAGAGGUGAAAUUCGUAGAUAUUAGGAAGAACACCAGUGGCGAAGGCGGCUCACUGGCCCGGUACUGACGCUGAGGCGCGAAAGCGUGGGGAGCAAACAGG